rnacentral:lncRNA from 1 species
CGCAGCUGGCUACAUCCAGUGGGCCUGGCUGGCCUGGGCUUGUGGAUCAGGGCUGGUCGAUGGGCCUGGCUGGCCAUUGAUGAAGCAGGGGAGUAAGCAGGGCUGGGCAGGCCAGGCAGCAAAGUGGUGGCCAGGCAGCCUGGGCGAUGGGCUGGUGGCGCAUCUCUAGGCCUAGUAGGAAGAUCAGUGGUUUAGGUAGGGGACCUGGGUGGUAGGGGACUUGGAUAUGGGUGGCCAAGGGGCUUGGUUGUGUGCUGGACUGAUGCUAGAUCUGGUGUUUACCAUGGACCUGGGGAACUGGUGGGUGAUGGACCAGGUGGGACAGGCGAGUGCUAGUGGCCUGUUGGGUAUCAGAAACUGGGCAGCUGUUGGACCUGGUGGGUUCUAAGGACCCAGGGAGCUUGGAGGGCUCUGGGGACUGGGCUGGUUCUGGGACCCAGCAGAGACCAGCCUGAGUGGCCCCAGGAACUCAGAUGGCACUGGACUGGCAGUCUCUGGGGCCCACUGGUCGGACUGCUGUAGCUGGCCUGGUUAUUCUUUGUGAGCCACAGGACUCACAGGGUUGGGGAGAGUUGGGGUCCCUCUAGCAUCUCCAACUUGUGUCCUUCUGGACAAAAUGCUC